UACGUAGGGGGCAAGCGUUGUCCGGAUUCAUUGGGCGUAAAGCGCGUGUAGGCGGCCAGGUAGGUCUGCUGUGAAAACUCGAGGCUCAACCUCGAGACGUCGGCGGAAACCAUCUGGCUAGAGUCCGGAAGAGGAGAGUGGAAUUCCUGGUGUAGCGGUGAAAUGCGCAGAUAUCAGGAAGAAUAUCCGUGGCGAAGGCGGCUCUCUGGGGCGGUACUGACGCUGAGACGCGAAAGCGUGGGGAGCGAACAGG
rnacentral:rRNA from 1 species